CGAUUAAGUUAUAAAGGGCGCACGGCGAAUGCCUUGGCAUCAGGAGCCGAAGAAGGACGUGAUAAGCUGCGAUAAGCUUUGGGUAGCCGCAAAUAGGCAGAGAUCCAAAGAUUUCCGAAUGAGGAAACUCACAUGGGAAACCCCAUGUAUCCUGUAAUGAAUAAAUAGUUGCAGGAAGGUAAACCCAGGGAACUGAAACAUCUAAGUACCUGGAGGAAGAGAAAGAAACAUCGAUUCUCUAAGUAGCGGCGA
rnacentral:rRNA from 1 species